rnacentral:rRNA from 1 species
GACGAACGCUGGCGGCGUGCUUAACACAUGCAAGUCGAACGGAAAGGCCCUGCUUUUGUGGGGUGCUCGAGUGGCGAACGGGUGAGUAACACGUGAGUAACCUGCCCUUGACUUUGGGAUAACUUCAGGAAACUGGGGCUAAUACCGGAUAGGAGCUCCUGCUGCAUGGUGGGGGUUGGAAAGUUUCGGCGGUUGGGGAUGGACUCGCGGCUUAUCAGCUUGUUGGUGGGGUAGUGGCUUACCAAGGCUUUGACGGGUAGCCGGCCUGAGAGGGUGACCGGCCACAUUGGGACUGAGGUACCGCCCAGACUCCUACGGGAGGCAGCAGUGGGGAAUAUUGCACAAUGGGCGGAAGCCUGAUGCAGCAACGCCGCGUGCGGGAUGACGGCCUUCGGGGUGUAAACCGCUUUCGCCUGUGACGAAGCGUGAGUGACGGUAAUGGGUAAAGAAGCACCGGCUAACUACGUG